CUCUUUGUACGCGUGUCUGCCGCGUUGUUGUGUGCUCGUCCUUGGGCCUGCAUCCUUGCCUUGUCUCUGGCUUUGCUCCCUCCGUGGAGGUCGUGCAGCAGGUCUCUGAUCCGCGCCGGCGGGACCCAGGGCCACGAUGGGGUUUGAGGACACCCGCUGGCUGCUUUCUCCUGAAGGAAGGUUAGUAUUGGGCGACAGAAGGUCCUUAGGUUAUCUCAGACGGUUUUCUUAGCGAGGCGUCAUGGCCGUUAACGUUUGUUUAUCCCUUGCUUAUUUUCUAAAAAUGUGUGCACGUUUGUCUGAAUUCGUCGG